rfam:Photobacterium halotolerans strain S2753 contig0001, whole genome shotgun sequence.
UUUUAAGUAGCUCAGCAGGUAGAGCAGCGAAGGACGAUUCGUGUGUCGUGGGUUCGAUUCCCAUCUUAAAAA